rfam:Patagioenas fasciata monilis isolate BTP2013 Sc31e1R_163, whole genome shotgun sequence.
GUGCAAGUGAUGUAAACGUUUUUUUACCACUGAAUAAAGUGAUGUUUCCAAAGGAACCACUGAUGCAC